GAUGAAGAACGUAGCGAAAUGCGAUAAGUAGUGUGAAUUGCAGAAUUCAGUGAAUCAUCGAAUCUUUGAACGCACAUUGCGCCCCUUGGUAUUCCAUGGGGCAUGCCUGUUCGAGCGUCAUUUGUACCUUCAAGCUUUGCUUGGUGUUGGGUGUUUGUCUCGCCUUUGCGUGUAGACUCGCCUUAAAAUAAUUGGCAGCCGGCGUAUUGAUUUCGGAGCGCAGUACAUCUCGCGCUUUGCACUCAUAACGACAGCGUCCAAAAGUACAUUUUACACGCUUGACCUCGGAUCAGGUAGGGAUACCCGCUGAACUUAAGCAUAUCAAUAAGCGGAGGA
rnacentral:misc_RNA from 1 species